UACGGGGGGGGGCAAGCGUUGUUCGGAAUUACUGGGCGUAAAGGGCUCGUAGGUGGCCAACUAAGUCAGACGUGAAAUCCCUCGGCUUAACCGGGGGAACUGCGUCUGAUACUGGAUGGCUUGAGUUCGGGAGAGGGAUGCGGAAUUCCAGGUGUAGCGGUGAAAUGCGUAGAUAUCUGGAGGAACACCGGUGGCGAAGGCGGCAUCCUGGACCGACACUGACACUGAGGAGCGAAAGCCAGGGGAGCAAACGGG
rnacentral:rRNA from 1 species